rnacentral:lncRNA from 1 species
CACUUACCUAUAGCUAAUGGAAUAUUUAAGUGGAGCUCAUAGGAGUGAAAAACGGCUCAUACAUAUGUUGUCUAAUCGAGCCAUGGAUCCAAAGGAACUCAGCAUAUAAUUAAAUCAAGAUGUGCAUGUGUGGUGGACUACAUGAUAGUGAUGGUAAAAAUGUAUAGGUGAUAAUAAAACUUACUUCUCAUUGCUCCUCAUAUUGCUAUCUCUCCUCUUCUUUGAUCUUUGCUUUGGGAGAACAUGGGCUAUCUUUUUCUCCUUUUUUUCAGGUGGGUAGUAGAUACCCCUAAUUCUACUAUCGGACACUUGUCCAUUUUUUCCCCUCAAGUGGGCAUCUUUGUACCCCUAAUUCUACUUCGGACACUUGUCCAUUUUUACCUCUCGUCUCACUCUUUUUCUUUCUUUUCGAGGUUCCGGGCACUUGCCCCUUUUUAUUUCCUCGCAUAUUUUUGCAUAACCCAUGCCUCUUCUGCAUUGAAUCUUUUUGGAGAGAGAGAAUAACAACACUUGGGACAGUGAG